rnacentral:tRNA from 1 species
GCCUUGGUAGUGCAAAAGGUUAGCGCAACAAACCAAACAUUUGUAGCUUCGGGUUCGAAUCCCGAUGAGGUU